rnacentral:siRNA from 1 species
UAAUUUGUUCAAGGCAGUUCUGAU